rnacentral:rRNA from 1 species
GACGAACGCUGGCGGCGUGCUUAACACAUGCAAGUCGAGCGGUAAGGCCCUUUCGGGGGUACACGAGCGGCGAACGGGUGAGUAACACGUGGGUGACCUGCCCUCAGCUCUGGGAUAAGCCUGGGAAACCGGGUCUAAUACUGGAUAUGACUCCAUGACGCAUGUUGUGGGGUGGAAAGCCUUGUGCGGCUGAGGAUGGGCCCGCGGCCUAUCAGCUUGUUGGUGGGGUGANGGCCUACCAAGGCGACGACGGGUAGCCGGCCUGAGAGGGCGACCGGCCACACUGGGACUGAGACACGGCCCAGACCUCCUACGGGAGGCAGCAGUGGGGAAUAUUGCACAAUGGGCGAAAGCCUGAUGCAGCGACGCCGCGUGAGGGAUGACGGCCU